GUUGCAAGCCUUUUUUCUAAUUUUCUGUUUCUAUUGGCUUGUGCGGGAGGUUUUGGUUCCGCCGUACAAAUGCACGGGUAAACAGAGCACCUUUAACCUUGUGAACUAAUCACCAAGCCAGCGUUCGAAGCAAGGCGGUUGCUGCAGAUAUCGAUAUCGCCUACCCCCCCUCGGAACAGCCGGUAGAGCCGAGAGCGGAGAUUGUGCGUGCGGUGACAAAGAAGUCCACAAGAAGUCCAGAAGAGAGCGGAACCCCUUGCCCUGCCGUGCCGUGAUUAGUGCAGCUGCGUUAUCGAUCAGAAGUAGAUCGCCUAGUUGGCAGUGAUUCUGAACGCGCGAGAAAAACAAAAUGGAUCACUCCAAACAUCGGGGGUCCACGCGACCGGCAAAGGUUCCGCUGAAGGAAGAAUCGACCGCUUAUCGGGCGCACAUAGCGCUGGGACUUUUCCUCGCAAUUAUGCUGCUAUCCUUCCCGACGCUUUGCGGAGCGCAAAGAGCGCACCAUGAUCACCACCAUCAUCAUCAUGAUCAUGAUCACGAGCACGCACACGACCAUGAUCAUCAUCACCAUCACGAAAGACCCAGCUUUAAAUACUCCAUGGAGGCAAAUCAAGGUUUCGAGGAAAAGCCGGCGGUUGAUCCACAUCAGCAUCAUCAUCACCAUCAUCACCAUCAUCACGAGGAAGAACAGCACCACCACCAUCAUGGUCAUAGUGAGCACGGCCAUGAUCAUCACCAUCAUCAUCAUCAAGCGAAGCCGGCCGCGAAAGAACCAAGAGAUACCUUCUACAUCUGGGUGCACUCGAUCGGCUCGACACUGCUAAUCAGUGCGGCUCCCUUCUUCAUCCUCUUCGCCAUCCCGCUGGAUAACACGGAAGAGAUGCAGCCACGACUGAAGACACUGCUUGCGUUCGCCUCCGGUGGUCUGCUUGGUGACGCAUUCCUGCAUCUCAUUCCGCACGCCAUCCAACCCCACUCGCAUGACGAUGGGCACGGACAUGGCCAUAGCCACGGUCACGGUCAUGGUCACGGGCAUGGUGAUGGUGAACACGAGCAUGGCCAUGAUAUGCGCGUUGGCCUGUGGGUGCUGGCAGGAAUCAUUGUGUUUUUGGCCGUGGAAAAAGCGGUACGACUGAUCAAGAAGGAUCACGGUGGACACGGCCAUAGCCACGGUGGGGCACAGAAAGCGGUCGCACCGAAACCCGCUCCCACCGACAAGAGCUCCUCUCCUCCUGCAUCGCCUUCUAAGGGUAAUAAGAAGGAUAAGAAGCAGGACCAGAAGGCGGAAUCCGUGGCGGCCACUAGCAAAUCGACCAAGGAGGAAGCGAAGGCGAAAGGAAAAGCCGUCCGGAAGGAACCGAAAAAGGAGGAAAAGAUACAGAUUGCUGGCUAUCUUAAUCUGGCCGCUGAUUUUACGCACAACUUCACCGAUGGCCUAGCGAUCGGUGCAUCCUAUCUGGCCGGUAACAGUAUCGGCAUUGUGACUACGGUCACGAUCCUGCUGCAUGAAGUGCCACACGAAAUCGGUGAUUUCGCUAUCCUGAUCAAAUCGGGAUGCUCGAAGAAGAAGGCAAUGCUGCUGCAGCUAACGACGGCCGUCGGUGCGCUCGCCGGUACGGUGCUGGCACUGUUGGGUAGUGGCAGUGAGGCGGCGGAAUCCUGGGUACUACCAUUCACCGCCGGUGGUUUCAUCUACAUCGCGACCGUUUCCGUCAUUCCGGAGCUACUCGAGGAAUCGACGAAGCUGUGGCAAUCGUUAAAGGAAAUCACGGCCUUGCUGGCCGGUGUUGGUAUGAUGGUAAUUAUCGCACAGUUCGAGUAGGAAUCCCCCAGCCCCAUUAACCAUGGUCCGGUUUGGUCAGUCUCGUCAUCUCGUCCAUCGCGCUCCCUGUGAGCGUUCGUUGUCGUGUUCUGUGUGCAUGCAUGCCUGUACCUUCCAUCCAUUUGGUCAAUGUUAAUUUUCCUACUUAUUAGUUAAGUGCAUACGUUUAAAUGAAGCCUCGUUCUUGAAGAGACCACAUUCGCAGUCCAGAGAACUUAUUAGUUUCAUCUUUUGCCAUCGGAAAGGAAACUUAAUUUUCCAUAAAAGGUUCUAUCGCCCAGUACACUUUACCUUCCCAUUUGAUUGUGACCGAAAUGGUUUCCUUCUCUUCUUAAGUGAUGGUACAAACGUUUCUUUCGACUUAAUCCUACCAGAACAAAAGAUGAACAGAGCAAUAUUACUGAUAAUGUUAUUAAGAAUAAAAAGAACCAUAAGUGAAGCUACUGCUACAGUUCCAUGUCAGUUCCUCUUUGUGCAACACUAAGAGCCACAUACUUUUUGAAUGAUUCUCUCGCGACAGCACACUCCGUGGUCUUGUUCCGCAUCACUAGUCUUAUCAUCAUCAGCAGUUGCUAGCAACGUGUCCCGUUUAUGUCCGGUACGAUAGGGAAUGUGUUCUACCUACAUACUGUCCACCGUGGACGCUACAGCAAUCGUCUUUUCCUUUUUGAUUGCGCCCUGUUGCCGCUAAGUUCAAUUCGUGCCAAUAGUCACGCAUUACUGAUAACAUUGACAACGACAGUUAGCUAUCUAGGAUCUUCGAGCGGCGUAGUCACACCUUUGUGUUUUAGCAGGUGCCGGGAAGGUUGAUUCAACGGUUCGGCAGUACGGCCUGUGUUCUUGUGUAGAAUCGUCGAGUGUUCUUUCUGUUAAGAAUAGCUAGUUACUCCUGUGUUCGUUCUGUAGUAGCUAUGACGAUCGGGAUAUUGCCUUAUGAUUAUAGAAGAAACCAUUGAAUCAUGAUCAUUGUAAGAAGCAGGAUAACAGGAUCUAGGCGCAGUGUUUGGCACGGUUUUUAGCUUAACAAUCGUCAUCCAAAGCGAAGCUCGGCUUUGCAGCGAUUUUAAUGUUCAAAACGGAAUCGUUAUGUAUGGGUUUGUAAAGCGCUGAUUGUAAAACAAUGGCAGUGGCUGUUGAUUGUUUAAGAAAUAAAAUAAAAUAUACAC